rnacentral:rRNA from 1 species
AGAGUUUGAUCCUGGCUCAGGAUGAACGCUGGCGGCGUGCUUAACACAUGCAAGUCGAACGAUCCUUCGGGAUAGUGGCGGACGGGUGAGUAACGCGUGGGAAUCUGCCCUCAGGAGGGGGAUAACGGCUGGAAACGGCCGCUAAUACCCCAUAUGCCGAGAGGUGAAAUGAAUUUCGCCUGAGGAUGAGCCCGCGUCUGAUUAGCUAGUUGGUGGGGUAAAGGCCUACCAAGGCAACGAUCAGUAGCUGGUCUGAGAGGAUGAUCAGCCACACUGGGACUGAGACACGGCCCAGACUCCUACGGGAGGCAGCAGUGGGGAAUUUUCCGCAAUGGGCGAAAGCCUGACGGAGCAACGCCGCGUGAGGGAUGAAGGCCUCUGGGCUGUAAACCUCUUUUCUCAAGGAAGAAGACCUGACGGUACUUGAGGAAUAAGCCACGGCUAAUUCCGUGCCAGCAGCCGCGGUAAUACGGGAGUGGCAAGCGUUAUCCGGAAUUAUUGGGCGUAAAGCGUCCGCAGGCGGCCUUGUAAGUCUGUUGUUAAAGCGUGGAGCUCAACUCCAUUUAAGCAAUGGAAACUACAAGGCUGGAGUGUGGUAGGGGCAGAGGGAAUUCCCGGUGUAGCGGUGAAAUGCGUAGAUAUCGGGAAGAACACCAGUGGCGAAGGCGCUCUGCUGGGCCAUAACUGACGCUCAUGGACGAAAGCCAGGGGAGCGAAAGGGAUUAGAUACCCCUGUAGUCCUGGCCGUAAACGAUGAACACUAGGUGUCGGGGGAAUCGACCCCCUCGGUGUCGUAGCCAACGCGUUAAGUGUUCCGCCUGGGGAGUACGCACGCAAGUGUGAAACUCAAAGGAAUUGACGGGGGCCCGCACAAGCGGUGGAGUAUGUGGUUUAAUUCGAUGCAACGCGAAGAACCUUACCAGGGUUUGACAUCCUGCGAACCCCUGAGAAAUCGGGGGGUGCCUUCGGGAGCGCAGAGACAGGUGGUGCAUGGCUGUCGUCAGCUCGUGUCGUGAGAUGUUGGGUUAAGUCCCGCAACGAGCGCAACCCACGUCUUUAGUUGCCAGCAUUCAGUUGGGCACUCUAGAGAGACCGCCGGUGAUAAACCGGAGGAAGGUGUGGAUGACGUCAAGUCAUCAUGCCCCUUACAUCCUGGGCUACACACGUACUACAAUGCUACGGACAAAGGGCAGCAAGCUCGCGAGAGUUAGCAAAUCCCAUAAACCGUGGCUCAGUUCAGAUCGUAGGCUGCAACUCGCCUACGUGAAGGAGGAAUCGCUAGUAAUCGCAGGUCAGCAUACUGCGGUGAAUACGUUCCCGGGCCUUGUACACACCGCCCGUCACACCAUGGAAGUUGGCCAUGCCCGAAGUCGUUACUCCAACCCUUGUGGAGGAGGACGCCGAAGGUGGGGCUGAUGACUG